rnacentral:rRNA from 1 species
UACGUAGGGUGCGAGCGUUGUCCGGAAUUACUGGGCGUAAAGAGCUCGUAGGUGGUUUGUCGCGUUGUUCGUGAAAACUCACAGCUUAACUGUGGGCGUGCGGGCGAUACGGGCAGACUGGAGUACUGCAGGGGAGACUGGAAUUCCUGGUGUAGCGGUGGAAUGCGCAGAUAUCAGGAGGAACACCGGUGGCGAAGGCGGGUCUCUGGGCAGUAACUGACGCUGAGGAGCGAAAGCGUGGGGAGAGAACAGG